GGACCCGCACAAGCGGUGGAGCAUGUGGUUUAAUUCGAAGCAACGCGAAGAACCUUACCAAGUCUUGACAUCCCCCUGAAUACAGAGUAACGUCUGUAGGCCUUCGGGACAGGGGAGACAGGUGGUGCAUGGUUGUCGUCAGCUCGUGUCGUGAGAUGUUGGGUUAAGUCCCGCAACGAGCGCAACCCUUAUCCUUAGUAGCCAGCACAUAAUGGUGGGCACUCUGGGGAGACUGCCAGGGAUAACCUGGAGGAAGGUGGGGAUGACGUCAAAUCAUCAUGCCCCUUAUGAUUUGGGCUACACACGUGCUACAAUGGCGUAAACAAAGGGAGGCAAAGGGGUGACCUGGAGCAAAUCCCAAAAAUAACGUCUCAGUUCGGAUUGUAGUCUGCAACUCGACUACAUGAAGCUGGAAUCGCUAGUAAUCGCGGAUCAGAAUGCCGCGGUGAAUACGUUCCCGGGUCUU
rnacentral:rRNA from 1 species